GUGGGGAAUAUUGCACAAUGGGCGCAAGCCUGAUGCAGCAACGCCGCGUGAGGGACGACGGCCUUCGGGUUGUAAACCUCUUUUAGUAGGGAAGAAGCGAUGUGCUUGUCACAUCAUGACGGUACCUGCAGAAAAAGCACCGGCUAACUACGUGCCAGCAGCCGCGGUAAUACGUAGGGUGCAAGCGUUAUCCGGAAUUAUUGGGCGUAAAGAGCUCGUAGGCGGUUUGUCGCGUCUGCUGUGAAAACUGGAGGCUCAACCUCCAGCCUGCAGUGGGUACGGGCAGACUAGAGUGCGGUAGGGGAGAUUGGAAUUCCUGGUGUAGCGGUGGAAUGCGCAGAUAUCAGGAGGAACACCAAUGGCGAAGGCAGAUCUCUGGGCCGUAACUGACGCUGAGGAGCGAAAGCAUGGGGAGCGAACAGGAUUAGAUACCCUGGUAGUCCAUGCCGUAAACGUUGGGAACUAGAUGUAGGGACCAUUCCACGGUUUCUGUGUCGCAGCUAACGCAUUAAGUUCCCCGCCUGG
rnacentral:rRNA from 1 species